CCGGAUUGGCUGGGGCGACGCGUGGCGGCCCCGUAUCCCCGGAUCUCGCGACGGGUUCACGUCAGAGGCUGGUUCCUGACACUUGGUUUGAUGUUGAGUACUGUGGUUGUGCACGAACGUUGGGUUACAAGCACCCUGGCAGCAGAACUUCUGUUAGAUUUUCACCCACAGCACCUGGUGUUAUUCUGCACAUAGGAGGCCUCCAGUAAUACUGGUCGAAUGGCUCUGGCUAUCUCUUUGCAGAGGGCCCACGUGGUCCAGGCUGUGCCUCUGCUCUUCUUCGCUUUACUGAAGUGGAACAAGGACCAUCUGCUCCCACCCAGGUUGUACUUUUAAAAAGUUUUCCCUUCCUCUUGUUUUCUUACUCUCUGAUAAAACCCGUUAUGUGACAAUUCUUAUGUUUGAGUUUUUCUGUUUCUUGCAGCGUCCUCACCCCUGUCCCCAUUGCCUAGAGGAACCUGUAUUAAGCUAGGUCAGGAGUCAGAGGAAUCUGGCCCAGUCCUUCCCUUUUCUUUGUCAAGGGCCUCAGACAGAGGGAGCACAACUUCAUGCUCCCUCACGCGCUUGCACACGCCUCCCCCUGCCCCAGUCUGGGAGAUCAAGGUGCGAUUUCAUUCUGUAACUUAUUCAGGUGCCCUUCCUCUAGGCAGCCU